CAGGCCUGAAGCGAAGGCCCUGAAGGACAGCGACGAGCAGCCGACAGCCCCGGGCGGCCUGUUGCCCCCAGAGUAACUUCCCCUUGUUCUUAAGCAAACAGGCAGGGUGGGAAACCCACAGAGGUUGUAAUUUUUUUUUUUUUUCCUUAACUGGCCUUCAAAGGGGAUCUUGCUGUUCGGUUUUGUGGGUGCAGCCUAACAGAGCUGCUCUUCCGUAUAUAACCUCUGUACUCGCCCUGGCUGGAGCAUCGUGCAGCCGGCGCAAGGCAGAAUAAAUUCCAGAUGCCGGUUCACUAACUAAAGAAUGUUCCUCAGGAGAUGCUGUGCUAAAGACUUCACUCAUUUGGGAAGACAAGUCCUGGAGAAACAGAUCACCAGAAGAACAUGAUAGGUUACACAGCUGUUUCAGAAAUGCUUCAUGCCAUGUCUCAACCAUAAACACCCAACAGUGUUUCGAUCAUAGCUGCGGUUGCGAGACAUCACUACAUUGCAGACUCAAGGGUCAUCGUGCAUUACUUCGUUCAUCUGAAUUUCUUUCCAGUGGAAAUUUACCUCUGAAUUUUCUGGAUUUAUAGUGUUGCUCUGAAAUCAUUUCAACAAGCUUGUGAUUUUUCAUCCUCAAACUAAAAUGCCUGCUCUCAACAUGACUGUAGAAUUUCAAGAGCUUUCUUUUAAUAUUUGCCCUCUUCCCACUAAAUUCUGUGCCACUAAAAGUCUAACUAUAAACAAAUAAAUCCAGGGCUGGGAACUGUAAUCCCCA
rnacentral:lncRNA from 1 species